CACCAAGGAGGACAUCCCCAAAGUGGUGGCCGCUCCACCGGUCGAGCCCGAGAGCAGUCUGUUGGAGGACAUUGAUGGUGACGAGGACAGGGACGAUGACAGCGACGCUGACGGCAAUCUGGCUGAGCCCUGGAUCUUCAAGAAAUGGUUUGGCCGCUUGGAGCCAGAGGAUGAAGAGGAAGAGCCUGAAGCUGAAC